rnacentral:lncRNA from 1 species
UAAGAAGUGUCAAGGUACUGUUAGCUACCUUCUCCUCCACCUUCUCAUAACGAACUAUCUCGUUGCCAAAGUGCAGGGAGAAAAAAUUCAUAAGCCACAAUUGCUUUGGAAAACAUAUAAUUAGAACUCAAACCCAACCCUCUUUAGUAUGGACCAUAAAGAUUUUAAACUCAUUAUAUGGAUCCAGUUUGUGUGCUACACGUUGUAGUCCGGGCCACCUAAAAUAAUAAGCCUCUUGAUAGAUUGACCCAAAACCCCUAUCACUUCAAACUUAUGACUCGUCAAAAAAGAGAUUUAUUGCUAUGAAAAAGCUUCAUAGAACAUUGAUGAAAGGAAAAGACAUAUUUUAUUUUAAUACAAGGAGGUCACAAUCACUCUUGUCUAUCAAAUUUCAAAUUGGAUGGAUAUGAGUGUGUUAUUGAUUGGACACAAAGUUCAUAAAUACUCAAACUUUUAGACACACUCUAAGCCAUCCAAUUUGACAUCGAAUGUCAUCCUAAUCACCACAUUGUGGUUUCCAUUCCCACCACGAACAUCAUCCCACUAACACUCUCAAAAGGCUAAUUCGCAAUAUACUUGAAAAAAUAAGUAAGGCCAUCUUCCCCACUGAAUUACCCACAAAAAAAAAAACCAAAUCAAAGAUUGAGAUGAUAAUCAACCCAUAGCAUUUUUAGGACUGUUAUAACUCUCAACUUUUCAAAUAGACAACCAUUCUAUUUCCACCAUCCAAAAGUUCCAAAUCCUUCCAUACAUCUAGGGAUAAAUCCAUCUUAUUAAAAAAAAAAGGGGGGAAAAAUUGAAAAAAACAAUUAAAAAAUCAACUCCAUCUUAUUAAAGAAAUCGAUUUAUUAAAAAAGCAAAUCCAUCUUAUUAAAAAAAAAAAAUGCCCUCAAGAGCAGCACGGAUAUUAAAGCAUUACAUCUAGGGACAUAUCCAUCUUAUUAAACUAAGAAUAGGGGGAAGAUUGAGGGCAGUUGGGAGUUGGGACAAUAGAUCAGAGGCAGCACCUAUCGGUGCAACGGGCAUCAGCCACAACCUUUGGUAUUCCAAUACUAACUUGGGCUGCCAUGCAAUCAUAAUAGCAUUUUGAUUUCUGGCAUGCCAAUUCCCCUGCAACAAAAGCAAACAAUAAGAAGAGAGAGACCACAAAAAUAACAAGCAUCUGAGACUUGCUGGUGCCUGCCAUGGCUGCAACUUUACAAGCUUUCAAGAUACAAAGAGACAUACAAAGAGAGGUGUUUGGGUAUUUAUAUUGUUCGUGAAGAGAGAGAGAAUCUUUGUAGAUUUUUU